rnacentral:rRNA from 1 species
UACGUGGGGGGCAAGCGUUGUUCGGAAUUAUUGGGCGUAAAGCGCGCGUAGGCGGCGCCACAAGUCACUUGUGAAAACUCUGGGCUUAACUCAGAGCCUGCAAGCGAAACUGUGGUGCUGGAGUAUGGGAGAGGUGCGUGGAAUUCCCGGUGUAGCAGUGAAAUGCGUAGAGAUCGGGAGGAACACCUGUGGCGAAAGCGGCGCACUGGACCAUAACUGACGCUGAGGCGCGAAAGCGAGGGGAGCAAACAGG